AUGGCAGGUGAAGCUUUAUUAGAAUGGCUACAAAAGGAAAUGGGAUACCAACCAUUAGGUUCAUAUGCAGCUUCAACCAAAGCAACAAUGCCUACUAUCGAUUCGUUACACAAAAUUUGCCGUGGUAACAUGAUACCUAUAUGGAAUUUCCUCUUAACUAGAGUUAAAUCACAGAAAACUGUUGAAAAAGUCCACCGUAAUAUCCUUGUACACGGUCCAGACGAUAAUGGAAAUGUUAGGAGGAAGGAGAGUGCUUCGGCGUCGUCGAAUGGUAGGGAAGUUGCUUUGCAAGAGAGGGAUUUGGCAGAGAAAGAAGUGGAAAGGCUUUAGGCAGAUAGUGAGGCGACAAAGGAAAGAGUUGAAGGCGAGGAUGUUAGAGGUGUCCAGGGAGGAGCUCACCCGUAAAUGCAUGCUUGACGAGAGGUUUGGAUGCCUCGGAUGCUGGCUUAGCAGCAGUUUUAGAAUCUUUGGGAUUUUGUAUGAAGCUUCGUGGUUCUGAAGCUUCCAUAUUGGAAGACUUGGAAAAGGCAACUCGGUUCACACACGGCGAUAUCUUGUUGAAAGUGGUCGUGCCUUGUUAGAUCAUGCUAACAAGGCACAAAAUGAGUAUGAAAGUUGCGGCAAAUGUCAUCACUUUAUCCUUUAUUUUCACUGGAUCAGAUCCUUGCUUAUUUGCAAUGUACUAGUUUUUCUAAUUCUUGUUCAAACCAAAAACCGGGGUGCCCUUACAAAAUUAGAUCGGAUUCUAGUGCCUUGAAUAUUGUAUUCCUGAUUGCUGGACAUUUGGUUGGACCAAUAUAUAGAUUGAUUGGCUUUGUUGCUUGUCCUUUGUAGGAUGACUAACUACUGCUUAAAUCUGGCUGCGGAGCCAGAGAAGACAGCUACAGAGAAUUGGCUACAGGAACUGGAUGUAGCUAUUGGUAAUGCUAAACACUGCCUUAACGAGGAAUGCAAGUAUGUUCGGGGCCUGGUAGAUGAAUGGUGGGAACAACCAGCAUCAACUGUAGUUGACUGGGUUGCUGUUGAUGGACAAAAUGUUGCUGCAUGGUUGAAUGAUGUGAAGCAGCUCAAGGCAUUUCAUGAUCAACAACUUUGUUGAAUCACCUCUUUGGCAACUGUUACAUAAUGUCUGUAAAUUUUCAUUUUUCUCGCUUGCUAGUUCUUGCAACUUCAUGUGGCUUUUGGUUCUCUCGAGACAGGUCACUUGCAAAUCUAGGCAGCAUCUGUUGAAGAUAGUAGAACAAUUCGAUCUUCGACCUAGACCUAGGACUGUAAGAAAAUUUCAGUCAAUAGGGGCGUAUUGUCUUUCUCUUACAUAGUUCAAGACUUCAAGCCCGAAAUGUAGGUCUAGUAAAAUAUGUUGUUGCAUUCCCUAUGUUGU